rnacentral:piRNA from 1 species
UGGAAGUCAGAGAACACGAGUUGGUCC